rnacentral:rRNA from 1 species
UACAGAGGGUGCAAGCGUUAAUCGGAAUUACUGGGCGUAAAGCGAGCGUAGGUGGCUUGAUAAGUCAGAUGUGAAAGCCCCGGGCUUAACCUGGGAACGGCAUCUGAUACUGUUAGGCUAGAGUAGGUGAGAGGAAGGUAGAAUUCCAGGUGUAGCGGUGAAAUGCGUAGAGAUCUGGAGGAAUACCGAUGGCGAAGGCAGCCUUCUGGCAUCAUACUGACACUGAGGUUCGAAAGCGUGGGUAGCAAACAGGAUUAGAUACCCGGGUAGUCC